GGAUGCGAUCAUACGCAGCACUAAUGCACCGGAUCCCAUCAGAACUCCGAAGUUAAGCGUGCUUGGGCGAGAGUAGUACUAGGAUGGGUGACCCCCUGGGAAGUCCUCGUGUUGCAUCCC
rnacentral:rRNA from 1 species